rnacentral:rRNA from 1 species
GAUCAUGGCUCAGAACGACGCUGGCGGCAUGCCUAACACAUGCAAGUCGAACGAGACCUUCGGGUCUAGUGGCGCACGGGUGCGUAACGCGUGGGAAUCUGCCCUUAGGUUCGGAAUAACUUCGGGAAACUGAAGCUAAUACCGGAUGAUGACGUAAGUCCAAAGAUUUAUCGCCUAAGGAUGAGCCCGCGUUGGAUUAGCUAGUUGGUGAGGUAAAGGCUCACCAAGGCGACGAUCCAUAGCUGGUCUGAGAGGAUGAUCAGCCACACUGGGACUGAGACACGGCCCAGACUCCUACGGGAGGCAGCAGUGGGGAAUAUUGGACAAUGGGCGAAAGCCUGAUCCAGCAAUGCCGCGUGAGUGAUGAAGGCCUUAGGGUUGUAAAGCUCUUUUACCCGGGAUGAUAAUGACAGUACCGGGAGAAUAAGCUCCGGCUAACUCCGUG